rnacentral:rRNA from 1 species
AAGUCGAACGGCAGCAUAGAAGAGCUUGCUCUUCUGAUGGCGAGUGGCGAACGGGUGAGUAAAGCAUCGGAACGUACCGUGUAGUGGGGGAUAACGUAGCGAAAGUUACGCUAAUACCGCAUACGCACUGAGGUGGAAAGCAGGGGAUCGCAAGACCUUGCGCUAUACGAGCGGCCGAUGUCAGAUUAGCUAGUUGGUAGGGUAAAGGCCUACCAAGGCGACGAUCUGUAGCGGGUCUGAGAGGAUGAUCCGCCACACUGGGACUGAGACACGGCCCAGACUCCUACGGGAGGCAGCAGUGGGGAAUUUUGGACAAUGGGCGAAAGCCUGAUCCAGCCAUGCCGCGUGAGUGAAGAAGGCCUUCGGGUUGUAAAGCUCUUUCGGCUGGGAAGAAAUCGCACAGGCUAAUACUCUGUGUGGAUGACGGUACCAGCACAAGAAGCACCGGCUAACUACGUGCCAGCAGCCGCGGUAAUA